UUGAUUCCCAGACAAUACCAUCUCCCUGAACUGGAGCAACCCUCCAGCAGGCUGGGAGGGAGGGAUGAUCGGGGCGGGGGUGGGGGGGGGCUUGGUUCUGGGGUCUGUAGGGUGUGAAUCCUUAGGAAAGGACUGGCUGGACUGCCAGGCUCUCGCGAGGAGAAGCUGAGUCUGAAAUGAAGGAAGACAUCCGGUGUCCCCGCAUCCGGCUCACCGUGAAGCCAGCCGCCUGCUCCUUGCUGGGGCUUCAGAAUGAAAGUUAGAAGGUGAGGACACAGUGAGAAGGUGGCCAUCUGCAAGCCAGGAAAACAGCUUUCAUAGGACACAGGCCCUGCUGGCACCCUGAUCUUGGACUUCCAGGCUCCAGACUGCGAGAAAUAAGUGGCUGAGGUUUAAACCCUCAGUUUGUGGUAUUUUUGUUGUUGCAGCCCAAGGGGAUGAAGACAGCUGCACUGAGCUGGACCAUCUCCGAAGGUCCCUUCGGAGCAUGUGCACCGAAAGUCUCUGGUGUCCCACAUGGUCUCUAGGCUGACGUCCACUCGUGUCCAGUGCAUGGUUUUUGCAGGCAUAAAAGUGAAACUGGAAUUUGAAAACCACCUGCCAUUGUCAUCUCCACCAUUUCAUCUUUCCUUGUCUGUCCAUAAUGGCUGCUGGAUACGAGGUUCUGAUUUUUGCACAAGGAACAGGCUGAAAACCUUCUGACAUGACUUUGCCCAGCCAUCUCACUGGAUGAGACGCAGCGCAGUAAGCAGCGAGGAGCUUGAAUGCAGUCCUUACUCCUUUCUAGCUGGGGACCUUGGACAACUGAUACAGGCGCUGUGUGCCUUGGUUUCUUUUCUGUAAGAUAGUGAUGGCGAUAAUACCCACGUCCCACCUCGGCAGAGCUCUCGUGAGAAUUACUGAAUUAAUGUGGUCAGGGGCCGAGAAGAGUUCCCCUCUCCUGGAAGGCUGUUAUUCUUGGCUAAUAAAUGCUCCCUGAAUGGCAGCCUCUUUUUUCAGCUGGCAGAUUACUUAGAAAAGCCCCCAAAUUGCACACCUGGUUAAGUAAGUCAGGUCCUGCGUGGCGGUGAUGUAACAUACCUAUUUUUGGUGGACUCAGCAAUUCAGGGAGUGACCCAUCUCCCUGCACUGCACCGAGGUCAUUGCAAUGGAUUUCAUCAACCAGCAGGUUUGGGAAUGCACCACAAGGUUCAAGUUUUUCUGCCAUCCUGCCACUCUGGACCGCUUUCACCUCAGGCAGCUCAGGUCGGGGCUGGGAGGCGGGGCAGGGCGCUUCCAUGAUGACAUCCAUGUUCACAAUGAUGGCAUCUGAGACAGGAGGAGGGGCAGAGGACACAGUCCCUGCUUGACUCUCCAGGGAUGUUUGCCACAUCACCAGAGGAGUGGGAGGAUUUUUGUUUGUCUGUUCAGCUUUGGGUCUGGAAAAGGGAGGCUUGUGUUUCCAGGUGUGUUUAGGACCUUUUGAAGGUUGAAUGACAGCUCCCUGGGGGAACACGUGUUGUGAAGCUCCUGCUGUAGGGAGGACCACAGCGCCCAGCGGAGGGCGAGAUGGUUCCUGAGCAUCUUGUUGGGCACCUUUGUCUGGGAGAAUUUCUUAGAAAGCCUGAACUUGCACCCCAGGGAGACAUCGUCGUGGCUUUUUGCACCACUAAUCCAGGUGGAGUGAAGGGCACUGGGUGAGGGCAACUCUAGCAAGAACAGAGAAUCUGGAGGUUCAAACUCUCUUUGGAAUGAGGCUGAGUGUUAAUAAAAGUGUAUAGACACACAACUAGCUUGUUCACUAACUGACCCACUGUAAAUCGAGUUGCCGGCGAUGGUAGUUGGGUCAAAUCACAUGAGGUGGAUGCAAAGAGCGGAGCUUUGGGCCCGACAGGCCUGAACUAAAACCCUGCUUCACUACUAUUGGCUGUGUAGUCUUGGUCAAGCCACUCAACCUCUCUGAGCCCCAGUGUAUGUGUCUGCACCAUGGAGGACAAUGCCUACCUUGCAGGGCUGUCAGAGAAAUAGACAGCAGGCAGCCCCAGACCUCCUGAACCGCCUGGUGCAGAUCCAGGCCCUGCUGGCCCCACGUGGCCCUCAGCUCACUGGUUGCUUCUGAUCUUCCAGGUUCAGCUUAAAGGUCACCUCCUCAGAGAGGUCUUCCCUGAUCACCCAUGGAGAGCACCCUGCCUGCUCCUCCCACUUCCUGUUACUUUCCAUUGCUUCCCCUGGUUUGUUUCCUUCUCAGCUUGAGACACAGUCUGCAAUUUUCUUGUUUGUUUGUGUUUGCUGAUUGUUCUUUUUUGCUUAUUGAUCACUGGCUGUCUCUGGCCAUGUGACUGAGGUCACCGAAGGCAGGGGCUUGAUCUGUGUGUGUUGGGACUGCUUUGAUCAGUGCCCGGCUCAGAGCAGAUGGCUGGGGUCUUUGACCAAAGAUCCUUGUAUCCAGGGCGAGCUUCUGAGACUUGUUAGACCUUGUUUUGUUCUGCAUCCGUGAUACCGGGAGCCACUUCAAAGGGUUGUGAGGUAAUAAGGAUGCACGGAGAUACAGUGUGGGUUUCACUGAGGACAGGAAGUGAGUGACACAGAGCAGAAAUCAGUAGUAUGAGAUGAUAUCAUGAGAUGGCGUGCAGAGUAAUCAGUGCCCCCAAACAACAAACAUUUUUAUUCUUUUCCCCUUUGCUCUUUUCUUCUGAGUUUGUACCUCUUACUUGCAGAUACAAGUCAUACAGAACACAAACUUUGGGAUAAUAGAUGUAACUCUGAGAAAUGAGAAAAGAGAAAAUUUUGAUUUCUCAACUUACAAAACCUGUGAUUUCAUUUAUAAUGUCAGAGGAAGGGUCCAGUGGGUGAAUUCACCCAUUAACGUGGAAACUGACCGAAGGAGUCAGUCUAGACGGGGAAGUAGCACCUUUGGAUUUACUGGUAUAUUCCAUCAGAAAAACAACACAACCCUUGUCCUCUGUAAGUUUAUAUAAGGACAUUUCUUCAUGAAAUCAUCUCCCUUAAAGAGAAUUGAUCUCCUCAUCAGAAAGAACUAUGGAACAGAGUGGAUUUCUCUUUUUACCUUGAGUGGCAGGAAGCUCAAGGUUAAUUUCAACACGCAAUCAUGAUAUUAACUCUCAGUUGAUACUUCUACUUAUUUCGGUGUUUUGAAAAGAAGCAGGACUUAAGUAAAUAAAUGCAUUUUGUAAGUGUGAUUUGCUUACUAAAACCCUGUGUCUGAGUUUUCUGGGAUGGACAAACUGCACUGACACUUCCUAAUUUUUGCCACGGCAUUUGUUGAAACGUCUCUGUGACCUGAGCUUGGCUCUCUUCCCUUGUUCUGGUCCGUAAUUUCCUCAGCUGUUAAAAGAGGCGUCUAGACUGAGAAGGCUUGUUCUGGGCACUUAUAGAUUGAAAACGCUUUCAUUCUUUCUAUGUUCUAAUGAGCAGUGAAGCCCUCUCUUCUCUGUUCCGCUGUGUCUCAAUGCUGUGAAGCAGGGAUUCUUUUCAAACUUUCUUUUUAAAGCUACAUUGUCUUUUGUCCAAAAUAAAACUGAUGGGGAGUCCAAGUACACGCAACACAUCACAGCAGAGCUCUUGCGGUUGAAGUGAGGGGUGGGGUUAUGGGCCAAGAAUUCCACCUCCCUCCCCUCCCUCUUACAGACCCCAGGGCACCUCAGAGGCAUCCCCAGACUUCCAGGGAGCACCGUCUGAAACCACAGUAUUACAGGAUUGCUGGACACAAGCAGAAUGGAAUUCGCUUUCUAAAAUCUACCUGGUUUAAACCACACCUGGAUUGUAAGCUUCUCGAGGGCCAGCAGGAUCUGGCACCUGUUGAAAACACAGGUGUGUGUUACUCAGUGAAUGAAUGAGUCCAGCAGUCUGUUCUCGGUUCAGAUAUCCUGCGAGGCUUUGCAGGUCCUGGAAGCAUCUCUCUGCAGCCCUUCAGCAUCUUGUAAGACCACAGAGUCCCCGACGGCUCGGGGAAUAUAGAGCGUGUGCUUUUAUGGCCUUUGUAUCAGAAUGAUUUGUGACUUCUCAGGUGGAACAACCAGUGACAUAAUUAACAUUUCAAAACUCUGCAACCACAAAUUUACUUUCUUUUGAAUAUUUGGGGCCAUUUAAACAGUAGCUUCGGUAUUAAAUUUGUACUUUAUGGGAUCUGGGGAGGAGGGACAUGGGGUAGGGGGGAGCAGGAGGGAAGAAUUUCCCAAACCUGUAUGAAAAAGGAUGGAAAACAUUGGUGAGUUUUUUGCUUAAAAAAAACCCAAAACUGUUUUUUUCUCUUCAAUUGAAAUACUGCUUUAAAGCAUUGGCAGGCUUACAGAAGUGAAAUGAAAAACAAAUCCCACAAAAAUCCUGGAGUACCAUAAAAAUAAUGAAUAAAGUAGUGCAAAAUGCUUUGAUUUUAGUAAUGUUUUUCAGUAAAGCUGGUACAUUCCAAACAGAUUGUAUUUAUCUCAAAGGAGGCCCUCUGCACUGUGGCUUAAAGGUUUAUAACAAAUUUCGUGGUCUUGCUUGGGAUAUGAUAAUAAGGACUCACAUAGUAAAACAAAAAAACAAAAAACAAAAAAACAUAGCUUUGAAAGUGGGCUGACCGGGUUCAAAUCCCUCUUCCCCUUUAUGUUACCUGGGCCUCUUUCAGUAAAUGGCCAUCCUGUCUCGGUUGAGUUUCCUUACGUGAAAAAAUCCGAAGAACAAUGCCUGUCUCAAUGGGAAGUUACAUGUGGGAAUGGGAAUAAAAGUAAAAGCUGCUGGCGGGGUUUGUGGGCACUGGGACUGAGUUUGUCUGGGUAAAGAUGGUGAUUCUGUAUUUGUGUCCAGAGCGCUGCACGUUGUCUAUAGUAUCACACAAAGCUCCGAUUCCAAAGGUGCAAGAAACUAUAGCUGUGUCCUUGUUUUGUUUUUAGUUUCCAUGGCUUUUUUUCUGGUUAUAAAAUUAGUAUAUAUUUACCGGAGAAAGCUUGAAAAUUAAAGAUGGAUGUUAAGGAGGAAAAGAAAUCACCCACAAUGCAGUUUGGUGCAGCCAUUGUGGAAAACAGUAUGGAGAUUCCUCAAAAGACUAGGAAUAGAC